CCUGCCAGUAGUCAUAUGCUUGUCUCAAAGAUUAAGCCAUGCACGUCUAAGAUCGCUAGGGGUGGGCAACCACUUACGAGUAAUCUGCGAAAGGCUCAUUAUAACAGUUACAAACUUGGCUACUAGUUUCCCCACAAGGAUAACACAGCCAAAUGCAGCGAUAAUACUUGAACAAACGUUGGUGAAUUGUAUAGCCAACAAACAGUAGCAACAAAGGAAUGUCUGCUACAUAUCCCCGCAAGGGGUGUUGACCAUAGUAAUGUGGCCUAGAAGAGGUAUUUCUUCCUUAUCAGUUAGUUGUUUCAGUAAGGGUGAAACAAGACUAUUACGGGUACGGGGAAUCAGUGUUCGAUUCCGGAGAGGGAGCCUGAGAAAUGGCUACUACAUCUAAGGAUGGCAGCAGGCGCGAAAAUUACCCAAUCCUAACAUUUUUGGGAGGUAGUGACAAGAAAUAACGACCUUACACGUGACAUAAGUCUGUGGAAGGGUUUCUUUGCAAUGGUUCUAGUUUAAAUCUCUAGGAGAGUAGCGAUUGGAGGACAAGUCUGGUGCCAGCACCCGCGGUAAUUCCAGCUCCAAAAGCAUAUACUAAAAUUGCUGUAGUUAAAACGCUCGUAGUUUAUAAGUAGGACUCUCACGUGGCAAUCUGGAUACGGCAGCUGAGUCGUGCUAAAUCUCUCGGAGCUUUAGUGUAGCUUAGUUGUAUUUUCGUACACGCUGUAUCCCUACCCUUAGCCUGUACCUUUUAUGGUCUGGCUCGAGGGAGAUUAACUCGUGAGUGUUCCGACUAUUGAAACCGUGAACAAAUUAAUGUGUUUAAAGCAAGCUUAUGCUUGGCAACAAGUAUCGCUUGAAUAAUUUAGCAUGGAACCCCUUUUUCCCCCGACUGGUAACCCCAGUUGGGGGAUGAGAAAAUAAAAGGUCGGCGGAGGACUCUGGUAUUGUGUGCUUAGAGGUGAAAUUCCGAAAUUUACGCAAGACGAUCGGAGGCGUAGGCUGUCAUUGCCCAUCACACCUUUAUUGAUCAGGAACGAAAGUCAGGGGAUCGAAGAUGA
rnacentral:rRNA from 1 species